UACGUAGGGUGCAAGCGUUAAUCGGAAUUACUGGGCGUAAAGCGUGCGCAGGCGGUGAUGUAAGACAGUUGUGAAAUCCCCGGGCUCAACCUGGGAACUGCAUCUGUGACUGCAUCGCUGGAGUACGGUAGAGGGGAUGGAAUUCCGCGUGUAGCAGUGAAAUGCGUAGAUAUGCGGAGGAACACCGAUGGCGAAGGCAAUCCCCUGGACCUGUACUGACGCUCAUGCACGAAAGACGUGGGGAGCAAACGAGGAUAGAAACCUGUAGAU
rnacentral:rRNA from 1 species